rnacentral:rRNA from 1 species
CACCGCCGCGGGAAUACAGAGGGUGCGAGCGUUAAUCGGAUUUACUGGGCGUAAAGCGUGCGUAGGCGGCUUUUUAAGUCGGAUGUGAAAUCCCUGAGCUUAACUUAGGAAUUGCAUUCGAUACUGGGAAGCUAGAGUAUGGGAGAGGAUGGUAGAAUUCCAGGUGUAGCGGUGAAAUGCGUAGAGAUCUGGAGGAAUACCGAUGGCGAAGGCAGCCAUCUGGCCUAAUACUGACGCUGAGGUACGAAAGCAUGGGGAGCAAACAGGAUUAGAUACCCCCGUAGUCCCUGUCUCUUAUACA